rnacentral:rRNA from 1 species
AGAGUUUGAUCCUGGCUCAGAUUGAACGCUGGCGGCAGGCCUAACACAUGCAAGUCGAGCGGAUGAAAGGAGCUUGCUCCUGGAUUCAGCGGCGGACGGGUGAGUAAUGCCUAGGAAUCUGCCUGGUAGUGGGGGACAACGUUUCGAAAGGAACGCUAAUACCGCAUACGUCCUACGGGAGAAAGCAGGGGACCUUCGGGCCUUGCGCUAUCAGAUGAGCCUAGGUCGGAUUAGCUAGUUGGUGAGGUAAUGGCUCACCAAGGCGACGAUCCGUAACUGGUCUGAGAGGAUGAUCAGUCACACUGGAACUGAGACACGGUCCAGACUCCUACGGGAGGCAGCAGUGGGGAAUAUUGGACAAUGGGCGAAAGCCUGAUCCAGCCAUGCCGCGUGUGUGAAGAAGGUCUUCGGAUUGUAAAGCACUUUAAGUUGGGAGGAAGGGYWGUAAUUAAUACUUGCWRUUUUGACGUUACCGACAGAAUAAGCACCGGCUAACUCUGUGCCAGCAGCCGCGGUAAUACAGAGGGUGCAAGCGUUAAUCGGAAUUACUGGGCGUAAAGCGCGCGUAGGUGGUUUGUUAAGUUGGAUGUGAAAUCCCCGGGCUCAACCUGGGAACUGCAUCCAAAACUGGCAAGCUAGAGUAUGGUAGAGGGUGGUGGAAUUUCCUGUGUAGCGGUGAAAUGCGUAGAUAUAGGAAGGAACACCAGUGGCGAAGGCGACCACC